rnacentral:rRNA from 1 species
AGGGAUUGCCUUAGUAACGGCGAGUGAAGCGGCAACAGCUCAAAUUUGAAAGCUGGCCCUUUUAGGGUCCGCGUUGUAAUUUGUAGAGGAUGAUUCGGCGAGGGCUCCUGCCUAAGUCCCCUGGAACGGGGCGUCAUAGAGGGUGAGAAUCCCGUAUGCGGUAGGUUGCCUUAGCCAUGUGAAUCUCCUUCGACGAGUCGAGUUUUUUGGGAAUGAAGCUCUAAAUGGGAGGUAAAUUUCUUCUAAAGCUAAAUAUUGGCCAGAGACCGAUAGCGCACAAGUAGAGUGAUCGAAAGAUGAAAAGCACUUUGGAAAGAGAGUUAAAAAGUACGUGAAAUUGUUGAAAGGGAAGCGCUUGCAACCAGACUUGUCCGCAGUUGCUCAGCCGGUCUCCUGACCGGCGUACUCUUCUGCGGCCAGGCCAGCAUCAGUUCGGGCGGUCGGAUAAAGGCCUCGGGAAUGUAGCUCCUCUCGGGGAGUGUUAUAGCCCGGGGCGGAAUGCGGCCAGCCUGGACUGAGGAUCUCGCUUCGGCAAGGAUGCUGGCGUAAUGGUUGUAAGCGGCCCGUCUUGAAACACGGACCAAGGAGUCUAACAUCUAUGCGAGUGUUCGGGUGUCAAACCCGUACGCGUAAUGAAAGUGAACGGAGGUGGGAACCCGCAAGGGUGCACCAUCGGCCGAUCCUGAUGUCUUCGGAUGGAUUUGAGCAAGAGCAUAGCUGUUGGGACCCGAAAGAUGGUGAACUAUGCCUGAAUAGGGUGAAGCCAGAGGAAACUCUGGUGGAGGCUCGCAGCGGUUCUGACGUGCAAAUCGAUCGUCAAAUUUGGGUAUAGGGGCGAAAGACUAAUCGAACCAU